UUGACGUAUAUUAUACGUUAUAUGUAAAGUAUCUCUUAGCCAUUGAACUCAUGACUUGUUUGUGUAACGAGCGCCACCAACCAUCCUGAUGACUAAUGUGCUGUUUUUUCAGAAGUAAUCUGGUUAUUCACGCGAUGACGGCUGUGACCUGGCCACCACGCUGCACAGCUUUGGGAGCAGCUUUGGGAUCAGGGGGGAGGAGGCUACACCGGGAACUAGAGCAGAUCUGAUGGCUAUGUUCAGGUACUGUAUCCUGUGAAAGUAAACAUAAAUCAUGCCCACUACCUGGGGAUAGGGUUACAGUGUCACAGCUAUUACACAGAUGUAGGUCACACACUAAUCAAAUCUUUUGAUUUGAGUGCUGAGGUUACGUAAUAACAAACCGUUGUACCUCAUAAAUUGUGAAGACGUGACCUCUGUUUCAGCAUCUCCAUGUCUCUGAAGAGCCCCUGCAGAAAAUGUGUGUGUUAGUGAAGAAAUGCAUAUGGAUGCAAGCAUUUGAGCAUUAGAUAGAGUAAAUGCUACUUGCUACUCUAGCCUCUGUAUCCUGCAGGCAAAAAAAAUUAUAAACAAGAAACGAGAAAAUCAUCCAUUCCAAAAAAAAAAAAGAAAGAAAAA